CAGUCCGCCCCGGAGCCGGCGCCUCUGGGUCCUCCCGGCCGCGCCUGCGCGUGUCCCCCGCUCGGGGAGGGCGAGGGCGGCAGAGGAUCACAGAGCCUCGCGGAGGAGGGAGCCGGCCUCGGAAGGAGCCUCGGGGGUGUGCGUCUCAGGAGUGAGUGUGUGUGCAGGGGCGUGUACCUCCUACUGGAUGGAAGAAACACAAACGCUGGUCGUCCCGGAGAGGCAUCACAUGGGCUUCUGAGACCUUUACACCCUGCUCGUCCUUCGUGUUUUGAAGUCAGUGGUGGUCACCCGAGCGGCGGGCUGGAGGACGCGGUUUGGUCCGGUCCGUCUGCGAAGAGCGCAGCGGAAACGUUUCCCCAGGGCUGUGGCUGCGAGGAAGGCUCGGUCCCCACGGCGGCGCCGCGCCCCGAGAGACGAGCCCGCUCCCCGCCUCUGGGGGCGCCUGGCUCCCGCCCUCCCCCGUUCUUGGACUGCUCCAGGUCCCACGCUGCCUCCGGAACAGUCACGGGGCUUUCACGGUCCCUUGUCCUUUCUCAGGAAAUGCAGUCUGUCUAAACCACAAAGCUCUCUGUGGUUCAGUUUUCAGGGAGUGGGGAGAACCUGCAAAUCUUGAGGGCCUGGGGCCCUUCACACUCACCCUGCUGGGCCUGGUCCUGGAGAAUCUUGGCACCUUGUAGGAGUGGGGUUCCCUCACCUAGUGCUGGGCAGCAGCCACCACAAAGCUUCGUGGUGUAAACUGACAACCACUCUAUUAUGAUCACACAUUCUGUGGGUCAGCUACCGUGUGAGGACAGCCUGUCUCCAUGAAGUCUGGGGUGUCACCUGGGAAGAUCCGAAGGCCGGGGCCUGGGAUCAUCCAAGGCCUGCUCACACCCACGUCUGGAGUUGAUGCUGGCUGUUGGCUGGGCCUCAGCUGGGGCUGUCACCGGAACACCUCCACGUGGCUGCAUGGGCUUCCUCACAGCAUGGUGGGCUGGUUCCAAGAAAGAUGCUCCCCUGGAGUGUCAGGGGAAGCUGCAUCAUUGUUAUGACUUAGCCUUGAAAGUCGCGUAGUGUCACUUCUGCCAUAACCACAGACCUACCCAGAUUCAAAGAAUAGGAAACAAAGAAGACCUCCCUCAAUGGGACCGUGUCACUAUCACAUCAUAAGAGCAUGUGAGAGGGACAUACUGUUUUUGGUGUCCUUGGAAAGUGACCUGCUUCAUGUGGGUCCAGAAAGAAUUAGGGUCUAAAUCUCCCUGGAAGGCACCCUGCCUGCUGACUUUCCUAUCCAGUGCAGGUGCCACCUGCCUGCUGUCAUGCUGGAUGUGGCCAGGGGCAGGGCAGUGGGACAGGGAUGCUGGCCCUGCAGCCGAGGUGUUCGAGAGGGACUCCCACCACUGCAGCUCAUGGAGUGGGUUCUGCUGGUCUCAUGUCAGCUCGUCAGCUCGGUCGGUUCAGAGGUGGGCAGGUGACUGACGGGAGCUCAGACAGAGCCCAGUGAAGGACCGUGCUCUGUAGUUGGGGGACGAAUAGCUGUCUUCCGCUUCUCCACCCUGCUCCCCCUUCCUUCCUUCUUUCUCACGUCGGGGUGAAUGAAGCAGCACGCAGCCCCCAGAGCUGCCAGUGGCCUUGGCACACGAGGACGGCUCGGCCGAAGAGGAGGCUGUAAGAGAAGUGUGGAGACUCAGGCGGGACACACCCCGGGGGCCAGCCCACCGGAAGCUCACAGACUGCUAGAGCUUCCAGUUUCGAGUCCCAUAGAUUUCCCUUCUGUUUAAGACCGUUUGAGUUGGGUUUCCCAAUUGUUUUCUUUUUCUCAGCAUGAAACCGCCCAAGUGACACAGAUGGGAACCAGGUUUGUGGCUGGGUCAGUAGCCGGUGGCCAGCAGAUCAGGGAGGUGGAAAAGUAGAUAAUGCUAUUGCCAUGAGAACCGAGAAUCUUUCCAGAUUGUCAGGUGACGGAAGCCCGGAUCCGGGGGCGGAGCUGGAUCCAGGGGCCCCAGGCGUGGCCAAUUUUCAGCAGACUCACAUCAGGUUGGUCCUUGGAAGCUGAACACAACCUGCCUUACUUGUUGCCAGUGCUGUGGCAUCUGCCCAGAGGUGACAUAAAGGCCUGGCAUGGCUUCUGACAUCCUAUUCCUACGGUUGCCAGUUAAAAUACAGGGCACCCAGCUAAAUUUUAAGCUGGGAGAAACAGCAAAUACAUUUUUAGUAUAUCCUAAAUAUUGCAUAGUAUGUACUUAUGCCGAAAAUUAUGCAUUAUCUGAAAUUCAAAUUCAGCUGGGCCUUCUGCAUGUUUCUUUGCUACACUGGCGGCCCUCUCUUUCCAUCGCCUGGUGGACUUUGCAGAAGGACGGAGUUGCCAGUUCUUUACACGUGAUUCUUGCUUGUGGAAUGGGGAGCUCUCAGCCCAGGACUUUGGAGCUCAGGGCCUGUGGGUCAGCCUGGUCACCUGACCACACUGGCCAGCCCCUGGGUUCUGGUUUGGUCACCAGAGCAGGAACAGAACCCGGGACCGACAGGAAGGGACGAGCAUCCUCUAGUCCUCUCGCCUUGCGUUUUGCAGUAAGACGUGUCCUCAGAAGCCCUGAUAGACGCUCUCCUGUGUGGGCCCCAGCCUCUGCACCAGCCCGGUGGCUCCGGGAGGCUGGACCCCUGCUGGGUUGCUCAGGCUUCCGCUGCGUCAUCCCAGCAGUGACUCUGAGCGCUGCUACUUAUGAGGGUUAACCUUAAGUUAUUCUGAGGGGGACAGCAGCCUGUCACUCAGACCUGGGUGGGUGUCCGGAGACCAGAGCUCUGCCUACAGAGUGGUCUGUGCCUGCCCUGACGGAGUGACCGGGUGACUGAGGCCCAGGCCUGAACCCCAGGAGCUCACCUAGAGGAGAGAUGGGCAUCGCUCAGCUGGCCAGUGCCGUCCAGCAAGAGCUGAGGGUGGCAUUGCUCACUCUGCCUGUGCUGCCUGGUGGGCAUCGCAGGCCCCACCGCAGAACCAAGGGGGUCAUUCCCUCCGCAGCUGGGAGGGUUGCCCUUGGCUGAAGGGAUCUGCCUGGCCCAAGGCCAUGCCCUUUUCCAAGGGCAGCCUGAAGCCCCUCAGCUCAUGGCAGGACACCUCUGCAGGCCCAUGGCCACUCCAGAGUUCCAGCUGCCCUGAUUCCCUGCCUGGCUCCUGCUUACCUGGUGCCAUCUCAUUCACUCCUGGGGAACUCACCACAACAGUGUGAUGCACAGUCUCCACAGAAGGGAUAUUUAAGUUGGGUUCUGAUGACUAUGUAAGAGUUUUCUUGGAAGGAAAGGAGAGGGGCAACAGCAGAGGGAACAGUGUGAACAAAGGCAUGGCAUGCAGGUGCUCCUUGUUAGGGCAUUUGUGCUGCUUCCAUGUGGCUGCAGCUGGGGGCAGAGGAGGCCACUCUGGGCCUCGUCAUGUGGUCCUGGAUCUUUGGGUCAUUCUUGGAGCUGCCUGACCUGAGAAAGUUUUGCUCGAGGGUAACAAGUAUGCUGUUGAGAGAGAAGUUUGUUCCGCAGUCAUCAGCGAGACACACGUCCAGGGGCUGUUUAAGGUCCCCCUGCAGAGCAGCAGCAGCCGUGUGACCUGUGCACUGGCGUCGCGAGAACGGAGGCCCAGGUGUAGAUUUAGUCUGUGUCCACCCUACAUCGUCCUCCCCCUGCCCUGCUGAGAUUCCACCGUGCGCUACAGACUCCUCAGUUGGGUUUUAUAUCCAAGGGCUGUUGAGGGUAACCUUUCCUCCAGGGGCUUGGAGUUGGGACUCUGGGCAAUUCCUCGAAGAGGCUUGGACCCGAGGACAAGGAGGAGAAGGCACAGGGCAGGAUGGCUGGCUGCCCAGAGCCUGGUGCAGUCCCAGGAUGGGGACAUGGGGGCUGCUGACCACCGAGCAGAGGCGUCUCUCUGACCCGUCUUCCCCUUCACGUCUUUCUGUCCGAAGCCAGAUUCUCUGCUCCUAAGGAUUCAUGUGAUUAUGGUAGGUCCCCCCUGGGUGGUCCAAGGUAAUCCCCCCACUUCAAGGUCCUUAAGCACAUCUGCAAAGUCCCUUUUGCCCUAUAAAGUGCCGUAUUCACAGGUUUCAGGGUUAGGAUGUGGACAUCUCUGGGGGCCAUUACUGUGUUGGCCACAGGGUGUAUCAGGGAGAGGAAGACCUCCUUCUCCUGCUUCUGAGCUCUCGGCUGGCCUGAGAUGGGCCCGCCCUGCAGCCUUGCCAGGUGGGCAGAGAGCUGGUGAGGCCUCUGGGGGUGGCCCCAUGGCUCAGCUGAUUUGGAGGCCCCGUAACCAUAAUCAUCCCUCGGGCUGACCUUGUACUAAGUCCCCAAGAGCAGACCCUGAGACAAAGGUUGGAGUGUGCCUAGCAUGUGUGGGAGGGUGCCAGUGCGAGACACAUACACUGACAGACAAUGGCCAGACCAGGCAUGACGACAGAACCCUGACCGCAGGCUGCAGCACCAGCCAGAGAGCCAGACCUCAGCCUCUGCAGCAACUGGCCCGAUGGCCAGGCUUGGUCAAUAACUGCCAGCUUCCCUAAUUUUUGUCCCCGCGUCCAACUUAGCAUCAACCAGAAGAGAAAGCCAACUGUGCCCCCUGACCUGUCACAGGAGACGCCCCACUCUAGUUGCCCGCAUCCGGUGCUCUCAGGCACCCUGAUCCUCCCUUUUUCCAUCAUAAAGCUUUCCCACCCCUGGCCUGCCACAUGCAGGUGAUGCUGGCUGACUCCCAGGCUGCCGGAAGCUCUGAAAUCGUUGCUGAUUUAAAUGGUUGGAGAUGGCACUCCCGCCUCAAUCCCCAUUCUGCUCUGAGGACCCACUUAUCACCUUGUUAAUUAAGUGCCCUGGGUGGAUCUUCUCUUGGCGUCUGUAAGUCUCGGGUGUCAUUCAUUUGGCUUGAUGCUGACACGGAACGGAGGAUAACCUAUUUCACUGGCUUUCCUUCCUCCUUAGUUUCUGUAGCCCUUGUAUAAAAUUUCCGGAUUGUAGUUCUAGGACCCUGAGGUGCUCCCUCUGGAGGAAGCCCCUGGUGUGGGUGAGUCGAGGCCUGGGUUCCGUGCUUCCCUUGCUUUUGCCCCAUCCUUAGUGACCUUCUCUGCUCCUGCAGCUGAGCCUGCCGAGGAGUUCCCCUGGGCACCUCUGGGAUUGGCCAACGCAGGGUGGGCUGGAUGUGCACAUUGUGUAUGAGGCAGGUGUGGGUGCCAGAGAACCACGGAUGCAGGAUCCCAGGAUGGUUGUCAAACUCAGUUCUUCACUUGAUUUCUUCUCACAACAUUUUAUUAUAAAAUUUUACAAACUUUUCCAGAGAAGUUGAAUGAAUUGUUCAGUGGAUACUCAUAUGCCCACCUCCCAGAUUCCACAGUUAACUUUUUCAACUUUUGCUUUUUCCAUCCAUCAAUGUGUCUUUUUGGUUUUGCCCAUUACAAAUUCACUGCCCUUGAGUUGAUGCUGAAUCCUGGGGAUCCCACCCUGCCCAGUGACUGCUUGACCUCUAUUUAAACUCUCCUGGAGACGGGAAACUCAGUACUGUUACACUUCUUCAUUCCAUCUGCUCUGGCUGUCACCAAGCCCCCUUCUGUGCCAGGGCUCCAAUGACAGUCUCUCCCAGGUGUGACCUCUCAAAAGAAGGGCCUGGAAGGGAACUGCGAGUCAGAGGCGCUGGGGCUGUUGGCGCCUGGGCCGGGCCUGCUGCAGGACUUCCCCAUCAGGAGGCCUCUGGCGGGUCCGCGAACGGGCAUUUCCGACAAGCUCCCAGCUGAGACUGCUGCUGUGUGUCCAGGACCCCAGGAGAAUCGCUGGCCCAAGCUCACACAGCGACUGGGAGGCACGGCCACCCCUUGAGCUGCCUGUCUCCUCAGGGGCCGGCUCAAGUCGUCCUCCCGGCUUCCUUGUGGCUUUCUUGUGGCUUUCCUCUCUACCUGAGUGUCCACUGGCUCUGCUGACCCUCAGGACUUGGGAUCCUGGCCAAGGCCCCAGAGGGAGGUGUCAUUAUUAGACGUGGAUGAACUAUCACACACAAUAACCUUUCUUUGCCCAGUUUAUUUUCUCACCACCCAAAGCUAAAAUGUUGUGGACAAAAAGCAAACAUGUCUGUCCAAGAAGGCCCUUGUCUCUUUCUGUAGACUGGGGAACGCUGUCUUUCAUACUCCACGUUUCCAAUUGUCAUUAAAGAAAGAGUAAACUUGCACUAAUUGUCAAUGGCUUAUUAGUACCUAUGUAGCUGACCAGGCUGGGGAUGAGUGUGAAUUUCAUUAGUUUCUCCAUGCCUUGGGGUUUGGCUCAAACUCUUGUAAAAGCUUUAAUUAACUCUU